AACUGCAGGGGAGGUCCCAGUGAGCUCCAUCCCCUCAACCCUCCACCAGUUACCUGAAUCCUGAAAAGAGCACUUGCAGGUAGAUUGGGAUGGAGCAGCCCAGCCUGUCAGACAGGUAAAGGUGCCACCCCUGUAAGGUGAUCAGGGCUUGACCCACCCAAGUACUCACUGAAGAAGGCAUCAGAGCCUGUGGUGAAGGAGGAAGAGAGACAUGAUGAGAAAAUGUUUUUGUAUUUUUACAUCAUUAGCUGAAAGCUUUUCUUGAUAUAUUUUCAUGGUUGGAGUAUUCAAUGUUUAGGGUGGGGACCUAUAGUGAAUUAUCCACAGUUUUGUUUUUGAAAAUGACAAUAUAAUAGAUACAAAAUAAGAAUACCAAAGCUCAAAUAAUCAACUUUUAGUCUAAGGAUUUGGAUUGCACAGUAUGCGAUAGAAAAACACCAUCUGGUUUUAUAUUUACUGCCUAUAACCCUUAUUCCACUGCAAAUGCAGUUUUUAAGAAAAUGAUAACUUAAUUUUCCAUAAUUUUCUUGCUUUGAAUAGCAACUAAUAAUUCUUACUACCUUAUUCUUAAGUCAGCCAUGUUAUUACGAUGCAAUACACAUUAGCACAUUCUAUGUAACAAGGAAACUUAAAUUGACAGUGAAAGCGUACAUUCAAGAAAUUAUUAUGCCAAUUCUAUACCAUUGUUUUUUAAUCUAAUUUUGUUAUGGCUGGGACUGUGUGCACUUACCUCACUAAAGUCAAGGCAUUGUAAUUGUAUAGAUUAAUAUUCAUGCUUCAAAGAAUAAAUCAAUUAAGAAACUAUGAAAAUAUUUAGGAGGAUCUCAUUAAACAUAUCAGACAACGGACAAUGAAUGCCCCCCAUCUGGUACAGACAGACAAGCCUUUUUUUGUGCGCACCGCUCCUGCGUUGUGCGCUUCUCCGUAUCCAACGCAGCCUGGAUCAUUUCUCCAAGUGCGGCUUUAAACCCCAAGUAAUGGUCUUUAUGGUGAGGCUUAUGAUGACUCCUUCGAGAGCCUGGAACUCGCUGUUGGCGAAUGGAAGAGUCUAAUCCACAUGGAGAUCAUGACUUUUGACCCUGACGACCCCAGUAAAACAGCCAUGUAGGAUGCUGUGAUGUACUAGCACCUCCUGCUUUGGUUAAAAUACCUACACAUGCUGCACGUGUCCUCUACAGCAACUAUUGAUUGACAGACAUUUUUUUGUGCAUAUUGCCAGCCUGGUCUCCCACUAAAUACUGUUAUUUUUACUUUUAUGCAAACCAUCGGAAAUGUUCUUGCACAUUUCAUACAGAAAAUACGACUGCAUUGUUUAUCGAGAUGAUGGUGACACUGAGGAAAACCUAGCCUUAACACGUGCUACUCAGUAUGACUAAACCUAAUCAUAUUCAUAACCAGGAAAUGGAUAUCUAUACCCUUAUUGCCUUAUUUCAGUGCCCAGAAAAAAGUUUCCAAGGGAAGUCUGUAGACAAAAAAAACACUACCUCAGGUAGACUUAAAUCAGUAAUAUGAUUUUGAUUCAGAAACUUGAGCUCACAUUUGUCUGUGGUUUGCAGAAAUAUACAGCAACAACAUGUGACCCUGGUUUUGGUGCUUCAGUAAAAUAAAAUAAAACAUUUUUUUUCAA